ACUAAGCGUACACGGUGGAUGCCCUGGCAGUCAGAGGCGAUGAAGGACGUGCUAAUCUGCGAUAAGCGUCGGUAAGGUGAUAUGAACCGUUAUAACCGGCGAUUUCCGAAUGGGGAAACCCAGUGUGAUUCGUCACACUAUCAUUAACUGAAUCCAUAGGUUAAUGAGGCGAACCGGGGGAACUGAAACAUCUAAGUACCCCGAGGAAAAGAAAUCAACCGAGAUUCCCCCAGUAGCGGCGAGCGAACGGGGAGCAGCCCAGAGCCUGAAUCAGUGUGUGUGUUAGUGGAAGCGUCUGGAAAGGCGCGCGAUACAGGGUGACAGCCCCGUACACAAAAAUGCACAUGCUGUGAGCUCGAUGAGUAGGGCGGGACACGUGGUAUCCUGUCUGAAUAUGGGGGGACCAUCCUCCAAGGCUAAAUACUCCUGACUGACCGAUAGUGAACCAGUACCGUGAGGGAAAGGCGAAAAGAACCCCGGCGAGGGGAGUGAAAAAGAACCUGAAACCGUGUACGUACAAGCAGUGGGAGCACGCUUAGGCGUGUGACUGCGUACCUUUUGUAUAAUGGGUCAGCGACUUAUAUUCUGUAGCAAGGUUAACCGAAUAGGGGAGCCGAAGGGAAACCGAGUCUUAACUGGGCGUUAAGUUGCAGGGUAUAGACCCGAAACCCGGUGAUCUAGCCAUGGGCAGGUUGAAGGUUGGGUAACACUAACUGGAGGACCGAACCGACUAAUGUUGAAAAAUUAGCGGAUGACUUGUGGCUGGGGGUGAAAGGCCAAUCAAACCGGGAGAUAGCUGGUUCUCCCCGAAAGCUAUUUAGGUAGCGCCUCGUGAAUUCAUCUCCGGGGGUAGAGCACUGUUUCGGCAAGGGGGUCAUCCCGACUUACCAACCCGAUGCAAACUGCGAAUACCGGAGAAUGUUAUCACGGGAGACACACGGCGGGUGCUAACGUCCGUCGUGAAGAGGGAAACAACCCAGACCGCCAGCUAAGGUCCCAAAGUCAUGGUUAAGUGGGAAACGAUGUGGGAAGGCCCAGACAGCCAGGAUGUUGGCUUAGAAGCAGCCAUCAUUUAAAGAAAGCGUAAUAGCUCACUGGUCGAGUCGGCCUGCGCGGAAGAUGUAACGGGGCUAAACCAUGCACCGAAGCUGCGGCAGCGACGCUUAUGCGUUGUUGGGUAGGGGAGCGUUCUGUAAGCCUGUGAAGGUGUACUGUGAGGUAUGCUGGAGGUAUCAGAAGUGCGAAUGCUGACAUAAGUAACGAUAAAGCGGGUGAAAAGCCCGCUCGCCGGAAGACCAAGGGUUCCUGUCCAACGUUAAUCGGGGCAGGGUGAGUCGACCCCUAAGGCGAGGCCGAAAGGCGUAGUCGAUGGGAAACAGGUUAAUAUUCCUGUACUUGGUGUUACUGCGAAGGGGGGACGGAGAAGGCUAUGUUGGCCGGGCGACGGUUGUCCCGGUUUAAGCGUGUAGGCUGGUUUUCCAGGCAAAUCCGGAAAAUCAAGGCUGAGGCGUGAUGACGAGGCACUACGGUGCUGAAGCAACAAAUGCCCUGCUUCCAGGAAAAGCCUCUAAGCAUCAGGUAACAUCAAAUCGUACCCCAAACCGACACAGGUGGUCAGGUAGAGAAUACCAAGGCGCUUGAGAGAACUCGGGUGAAGGAACUAGGCAAAAUGGUGCCGUAACUUCGGGAGAAGGCACGCUGAUAUGUAGGUGAAGUCCCUCGCGGAUGGAGCUGAAAUCAGUCGAAGAUACCAGCUGGCUGCAACUGUUUAUUAAAAACACAGCACUGUGCAAACACGAAAGUGGACGUAUACGGUGUGACGCCUGCCCGGUGCCGGAAGGUUAAUUGAUGGGGUUAGCGCAAGCGAAGCUCUUGAUCGAAGCCCCGGUAAACGGCGGCCGUAACUAUAACGGUCCUAAGGUAGCGAAAUUCCUUGUCGGGUAAGUUCCGACCUGCACGAAUGGCGUAAUGAUGGCCAGGCUGUCUCCACCCGAGACUCAGUGAAAUUGAACUCGCUGUGAAGAUGCAGUGUACCCGCGGCAAGACGGAAAGACCCCGUGAACCUUUACUAUAGCUUGACACUGAACAUUGAGCCUUGAUGUGUAGGAUAGGUGGGAGGCUUUGAAGUGUGGACGCCAGUCUGCAUGGAGCCGACCUUGAAAUACCACCCUUUAAUGUUUGAUGUUCUAACGUUGACCCGUAAUCCGGGUUGCGGACAGUGUCUGGUGGGUAGUUUGACUGGGGCGGUCUCCUCCUAAAGAGUAACGGAGGAGCACGAAGGUUGGCUAAUCCUGGUCGGACAUCAGGAGGUUAGUGCAAUGGCAUAAGCCAGCUUGACUGCGAGCGUGACGGCGCGAGCAGGUGCGAAAGCAGGUCAUAGUGAUCCGGUGGUUCUGAAUGGAAGGGCCAUCGCUCAACGGAUAAAAGGUACUCCGGGGAUAACAGGCUGAUACCGCCCAAGAGUUCAUAUCGACGGCGGUGUUUGGCACCUCGAUGUCGGCUCAUCACAUCCUGGGGCUGAAGUAGGUCCCAAGGGUAUGGCUGUUCGCCAUUUAAAGUGGUACGCGAGCUGGGUUUAGAACGUCGUGAGACAGUUCGGUCCCUAUCUGCCGUGGGCGCUGGAGAACUGAGGGGGGCUGCUCCUAGUACGAGAGGACCGGAGUGGACGCAUCACUGGUGUUCGGGUUGUCAUGCCAAUGGCACUGCCCGGUAGCUAAAUGCGGAAGAGAUAAGUGCUGAAAGCAUCUAAGCACGAAACUUGCCCCGAGAUGAGUUCUCCCUGACUCCUUGAGAGUCCUGAAGGAACGUUGAAGACGACGACGUUGAUAGGCCGGGUGUGUAAGCGCAGCGAUGCGUUGAGCUAACCGGUACUAAUGAACCGUGAGGCUUAACC
rnacentral:rRNA from 1 species